UGUUUAUGUGAUCGGUCUAGUAACAUCUUGAUCAACCAGUUAAGCAUCCCAUUCAUCUAAGAAACUGACUAUAUUGACUUUUUAUCAUAUAUAAAUAUCUUAAUGCACAAUAACAUGAAAACAGGAUUCAUAUGUUAUUGGAAUUGUAUCAUUAUGGUUUGGGCUGGUAUUGUCGGCAUGCUAUAAUGUGGGUCCAAAUUCAAUAGUACACGUGUUUGAGUUAUAGACGGAAGGAAACAAAAAAAAUGUAGAGAUAUUAUGUUAGAUCA
rnacentral:lncRNA from 1 species